AGCUUUGCACAGUGGCAGUAUCAUAGCCAAUGAGGUUUAUCUGAGGCAUGAUUAUUGCUAAUAAAUGCAGCUUAAUCAAUCUGGAGACUGCAUGGAAAGCUAUAAUAAUCUAUCAGUUACCCUGUAAGAAAGGUUAUAAGGGAUUGCUUAAAAAUUAUAAAUCAU
rnacentral:snRNA from 1 species